AGUCUUAUAUUCAAUAAUAUGAUUUUAAAUUGCAAAUUUAAAGGUGACUAAAAGUCUAAGGCUU
rnacentral:tRNA from 1 species